CGGACGACUAUAAACAAUCUCGGCCUCGUGCAAGUCAGCGCUCGCUGGCAACACUUUCGAAUUGACGGGGAACCCCUAAGAGCCCUUCACACCAAACCAGCGCGGGAAACCCGCUGGCGGCCCGUGGGAAACUACGGGGUACGGUAACAGAGGAAGGGAUGACUCGAGGCCGCGAGGCCCCGAUGAAAUGGGUGAUCCGCAGCGAAGCCCCUGCCGUUGACGGUAGCACCUUCCAGGUCUCAAGGCCUGGGUGCAGCCGAACGUGGGGAACGUUCACAGACUAAGUGGAAGUGGGUGGAGCCGUUGCUCUGCUUAAGAUAUAGUCGGGCCCCGCUGGAAACAGCGGGGGGGAUAUUGGAGGGGUCAAACUGAUCGCUCCUGCUAGAAACCGUUCCGUAGGUGAACCUGCGGAAGGAUCAUUACACGAAGAGGCCUCCAUCGGUCUUUCAACCUUGCCUAUCGUACCCUUUUUUUGUUCCCUCGGCGGGGGUAAAAGCCCGCCGGCGGGAAGCUCAAAAAACCCUUUGCAAAUCAGCAUCUAAAACUCUGAUUAACAAACCUAAAUCGUUACAACUUUCAACAAUGGAUCUCUUGGUUCUGGCAUCGAUGAAGAACGCAGCGAAAUGCGAUAAGUAGUGUGAAUUGCAGAAUUCAGUGAAUCAUCGAAUCUUUGAACGCACAUUGCGCCCCUUGGUAUUCCAUGGGGCAUGCCUGUUCGAGCGUCAUUUACACCCUCAAGCUCUGCUUGGUGUUGGGCGUCUGUCCCGCGAAGGCGCGGACUCGCCCCAAAGGCAUUGGCAGCAGUCCCUGCCGGGAUUCCCCAACAGCGCAGCACUGUUCGCGCACCCGGGGGCCCGGCGCGGGGUCCAGCGUCCACGAAGCCCGAU
rnacentral:rRNA from 1 species